AGAAUUAAACUCUUUGCAGGUGCGCGGCUAUUCGCCGUGAUAAUAGGGAAACCGGUGCAAAACCGGUGCAGCCCCCGCUGCUGUGAGGCGGACUGUUUUUCCUUGGGGCCAAUCGGGCCCAUCCACUGGUUGCAAAACCGGGAAGGAUGAAAAACAGGAAGAUGCCAAGCCAGAAGACCUGCCUGUAAAGUGCGGUGUAA
rnacentral:ncRNA from 2 species